rfam:Aedes albopictus isolate Foshan contig25013, whole genome shotgun sequence.
UGUUCUGUGGCUCAGUUGAAUAAAGCUCUAGGACUAGCGAUACGGAGUCGUGGGUUCGAAUCCCACCAAAACAA